rnacentral:tRNA from 1 species
GUCCCGGUCGUCCAGAGGCCUAGGACACCGCCCUUUCAAGGCGGCAACGCGGGUUCGAAUCCCGUCCGGGAUACCCUCU